CAGUUAUUUUAUCUACAGGGCUGAUAGAAUAAGAAGAGUUAGAAUUUUGACCCGGACCGGAGCCAACCUCAACCCAGCCCAAGGUUCGCUACCCUAGAUCAACACGGUGGCACGGAGUCACAAAGUUGAAAGUUUCACGGUUUGUGAAGCUUCUUGAAGCUUUUAGAUAUCUAAAAGCUGGUAAUCAAUUAUACAAUUCUAUCUUCGCAUCGUUCGAUUCUUGUUUUUAGAUAUAAGCAAAGAAUGUUCUUUUUGACUUUAAGAUAUGUUUAGUCACAGCCUUAGUCGAAUUUUCGCUAGCGCCUCUUGUCGAUCACUUGGCGGAGAUGAAUGGUUCUCCACCUUUUCUAUGUGCAGUUGUUCCACUUUAUCAAGCUUCUUAAAUAAUGAAGAAAAUGCUCCAGUAAAUAUCGAGAUUCUAGCCGUAAUGACUCCUUUUAAGGGUUGCCCUUGCUCCUGUUGCUUGUAUUUAUAGAGAUAUGAGGGUGUUACGUAAUGCAAUGGUUAAGCCUGUCGAAUUAGGGUCUGGAAUUGGUCUGAAGUUCACUAUAUGGCACUACGAUUUAGUGCAGAUGUGGGUUUGGGAGAGGUUUGUGGAAUUGAGGCCAAAGCCAAAUGUCAUAGAACGGGGAGACCCUAGAUCAGCACGGUGGAAUGGAGUCACAAAGUUGUAAGUUUCACGAUUUGUGAAGCUUCUUGAAGCUUUUAGACAUAUAAAGCUGAUGAGUUCCUACAGGCUACAGUCAAGUGGAUCAUGCUCCUCAGAGUAUUCUUCUUGGCUGUUGAGAUGGUGGAAAAUCUCAAAGGUGCAAUGGUGGAGUCAAACUAUUUGGCUCGUUUGUAGCUGAACUAUUCACGAAAUGGUGAGAUUUGGAUAUAUCUAUAGAGAUACAUGUUUUCAUAUCUCAAGCACAGCAAGAAAGCAGAAGGAAAGUUUGCUUGCAGAUUUACUAGGAGCUCUUAGAAGGAAAGCCUGUUAAACCUGCACGGGCUGUUGCCAACAACCAUCUGACAAGAAUGGCAGAUGCAUUUCGAGCUUAACACAAUAUGCUUCCAUCAAAUUAUCAUAAUCAUGCUACUGUCUCCCCACACUAAUUAGACAAGAUCGACUGCCAUCUGCAAAACGGUCACCGGACAGGAAGAAACAUGGAAAAAACCGGUGGCGUCCACAGGUAAACCGAUCAUCAUCAUCAUUAUUAUCAGUGUCAAACUCAGAAUUUAAGGAAUAAUAAGCAUUCAUUUUCUGUGUUGAUUGUUUGUAUAGUUUUGGUAAGCAUCCAAGACCAAAGAUGAAGUCUGUAAAAUUAUUUUCUUUAUAUCUCAUUCCAUCAGAAAUUUGAUAAGCCAAAGAGUGAGUAGUUUGGGCGAAUAUGUGAACACGCAGUAGUUUUAGCAAUAUAUUUUUGGAUCAUAUGCUUUUGAUAAUUUUGAUUCGAAGCAUAAGUGAUUUCAGAAUUUAGGAUUGUUUAAUCUUACUUUCCUUUGAAAUCACACUUAAUUAAUUUAAACUUCAUAUCUAAAUAUUGAAUGAUGGUAGAAUGAAUAUGUAAUCUAGAAAUUAAGAAAAUUAAAUUCUUGAAACAUUCUAUAUCAUUUGUGUAACACUAUGUUUCAUGAACAACAUAGAUUAGGUCAACUUUCCUGCUCUUCAUGAACCCUAAGCGAAAAUGUGUUCGUCUUUGAGAGAAAAAAUCUGACAAAUCAAUAUCAGUUCAGAAAUUAUUUACGCAAUUAUAAUUAGUAGUAUUUAUUGAAUCCGCGUGUUUAUGUUGUAAUUGCAUAAUAAUCAUUGACCGAACAUCAGCGGAUACAGAAAAUUAGACUUGCAUGAUACACUAAACCUGGAGAACCACUGUUUAAACAGGAUUAAUAUUGUUGACAAUGUGUAGCUGUGACGGUUUAACAAAUAGGAAAGCUUGUGAACACUUUAAAACAAGAGAAUCAUGGACAAAAGACUUCUUUAGAUUUACUAAUUAUCAGAAGACUUGUGGAAUGUAUGUUAGUUUUAUACUCCAAAUUUGGUGGAAGUUCAGAAAAAAGACAUGUGAUUGAGACGAUAUUUUGAAUGUGGCAAUCCCGAUAGACUGAUCAAUUCAUGGAAUACUACUUAGUUAAAUAAUGAAGAAAAUGCUCCGUCAAAGAUUGAGGCGUAAUGACUCUUUUUAAGGUAAUAUACUUUUCUUCUUAAGUCUCUUAAACAUUUUUGCCGAAAACUGUGUGACUAAAUGUGAAAGAAUUAUCGAGAUGAAGAAUUAGUUAAUAAUACAAAUCUAAAUUAUUUGUGUGGAGGAUCUUGAUUAAUUACUUACCCCAAUUGGCAGCACAAGGAAUACUCGUACAACAACGUUGGAGUUUGACCAACUCCAGAGUUUUGACUACGAUGAUACCAUCAGUCUCCUUCUAUGCCCCGUCUUCAGUUGGUUCUCUUUAAUUAGGGGUGGCCUGGUAAUUUUGAUAUCUUCAGCCUUGUCAUUUCUAGUAUGCAAAUGAGUUCUCUGGUAAAACCUACGUUGCGGGAUACUCUUUUGCUCAUUGGACCUGAGAGGGAGGAUGAGCAAGUGAGGCAACAUAUCAUUGAAGACUAGUGAGAUGUUUUUUGGACCGUGGAAAGUCUUAGAGGUGCCAUGGUGGAACCAUUUGGCUCUUAUGUAUCUAAGCAUUUGACCAGAACAUAUCUAUAGAGAUACAUAGAGGUCGCAUAUUUUAACUAUUUGGAGAAACCAGAAGGAAAAUUUACUAGAAACUGUACUAGAAGCUCUCAGAAGUGAGGGUACCUGCCUCCUUUUUAGUAAUCUGCUUGACAAUUGACAUAUAGGUUUGAGAACUGCAGCUGUUGAACAAAUUGCAAGAACAUUUGCUGCAGACAAAAACUGGUUUAAACGGUCUAGGCGGAGAAAUGAAAGUUCUCUGAUCUGCUCGUUUCAUUCUUUGCAAAGGUUGAGGAUCCUUUUGAGCAGCCUAAUAAUACUGCAAGGCCUAUUACCAACAACCUUCAGACAGAAACACUGGGGGAAACUAUGACGGGAGUCAUCCACAGGUCAACAGAGAAGCAUCAGCACCAUCACAGUCGCAUCUAACUUAAUAUGUAAUGAAUGAUAAACGUUCUAACAUUGCGACUGUCAGCAGACCAGUGCAGACAAUUCAAGCACAACAGAUCUGGAGGGCAAAACCCAAGAGCUAAAUUCCACGAGGAUGGACCUACAGCCUGCCUUCGUAUAUUAAUUAUUGAUAAAGAUAAUAUUGCUUAUUGUUAAUCAAGUCUUUAUAAAUGGUUUGUUGUAAAAAUAACAUUAUAACCAUUAUGUUUAAAGUCAAUGUAAAUGUUUUACAGUAAUAAAUUGUGUGUUGGCCUA